UACGUAGGGUGCGAGCGUUGUCCGGAAUUAUUGGGCGGAAAGGGCUCGUAGGCGGUCUGUCACGUCGGGCGUGAAAACUCAGGGCUUAACCCUGAGCCUGCUUCCGAUACGGGCAGACUAGAGGUAUGCAGGGGAGAAUGGAAUUCCUGGUGUAGCGGUGAAAUGCGCAGAUAUCAGGAGGAACACCAGUGGCGAAGGCGGUUCUCUGGGCAUUACCUGACGCUGAGGAGCGAAAGUGUGGGGAGCGAACAGG
rnacentral:rRNA from 1 species